CACGCCCUAAACGAUGCGAACUGGAUGUUGGGUGCAACUUGGCACUCAGUAUCGAAGCUAACGCGUUAAGUUCGCCGCCUGGGGANCAACGCGAAGAACCUUACCUGGUCUUGACAUGUCCGGAAUCCUGCAGAGAUGCGGGAGUGCCUUCGGGAAUCGGAACACAGGUGC
rnacentral:rRNA from 1 species